GAUCGUUCUCGAUCUUCUUUACAGUUAAGAUCUAAAGGCUUGAUUUUUUGCUUAGUUUUUGUUGUGGGUUUUCGUUUCGAUGUGGUGCGAAUCUGAGCUGUUAAUUACUUUGAAUUGUUUCUUUUUUGUUGUUGUUGUUUUUAAUUAUAUUAGAUGUCGGCAGGGGAUUUGUUUGUGAGAUGGAUUAGUGGUGGGGGUGAAGUUGAGCCUUUGUAUUUGACUAUAUUAAUUUUGUGAAGUUUGGAUCAGAGCAAGUGGGGUGGGGGCUAUGGUUCCUUUUUAUUUAAUUUAAUUUGGGUGGUGGGAAAUGCUUUUUCAUUUCUAGAACGGAAUUGUGGCCAUAAUAGGAAGC
rnacentral:lncRNA from 1 species